GGACGAUGACGACUCAAUAUCAAGGUCUCGUUCGUCGUAAUGGCGGUGCUUGUCUCCGACUUGACGACCAUCCUGAUAUAUCACCACCCAUAUUCUGAGUCC